AACGAACGCUGGCGGCAUGCCUAACACAUGCAAGUCGAACGGGAUCCUAGCUUGCUAGGUGAGAGUGGCGGACGGGUGAGUAACACGUGGGAAUCUGCCUUUUGGUUCGGGAUAACCGCGGGAAACUGCGGCUAAUACCGAAUGCCCUCGUGAGAGGAAAGAUUUAUCGCCAGAAGAGGAGCCCGCGUCCGAUUAGGUAGUUGGUGGGGUAAAGGCCUACCAAGCCGACGAUCGGUAGCUGGUCUGAGAGGAUGAUCAGCCACACCGGGACUGAGAUACGGCCCAGACUCCUACGGGAGGCAGCAGUGGGGAAUAUUGGACAAUGGGGGCAACCCUGAUCCAGCAAUGCCGCGUGAGUGAUGAAGGCCUUAGGGUUGUAAAGCUCUUUGCCAGGGAAGAUAAUGACAGUACCGGGAGAAUAAGCCCCGGCUAACUCCGUGCCAGCAGCCGCGGUAAU
rnacentral:rRNA from 1 species